rnacentral:rRNA from 1 species
GACGUAGGGCGCGAGCGUUGUCCGGAUUUAUUGGGCGUAAAGAGCUCGUAGGUGGUUCGGUAAGUCGGAUGUGAAAUCUCCAGGCUCAACCUGGAGGGGUCAUUCGAUACUGCCGUGACUAGAGUUCGGUAGAGGAGUGUGGAAUUCCUGGUGGAGCGGUGAAAUGCGCAGAGAUCAGGAGGAACACCCGUAGCGAAGGCGGCACUCUGGGCCGAUACUGACACUGAGGAGCGAAAAGCGUGGGGAGCGAACAGG